GAUGAACGCUGGCGGCGUGCCUAAUACAUGCAAGUCGAGCGAAUGGAUUAAGAGCUUGCUCUUAUGAAGUUAGCGGCGGACGGGUGAGUAACACGUGGGUAACCUGCCCAUAAGACUGGGAUAACUCCGGGAAACCGGGGCUAAUACCGGAUAACAUUUUGGACCGCAUGGUUCGAAAUUGAAAGGCGGCUUCGGCUGUCACUUAUGGAUGGACCCGCGUCGCAUUAGCUAGUUGGUGAGGUAACGGCUCACCAAGGCAACGAUGCGUAGCCGACCUGAGAGGGUGAUCGGCCACACUGGGACCGAAACACGGCCCAGACUCCUACGGGAGGCAGCAGUAGGGAAUCUUCCGCAAUGGACGAAAGUCUGACGGAGCAACGCCGCGUGAGUGAUGAAGGCUUUCGGGUCGUAAAACUCUGUUGUUAGGGAAGAACAAGUGCUAGUUGAAUAAGCUGGCACCUUGACGGUACCUAACCAGAAAGCCACGGCUAACUACGUGCCAGCCGCCGCAGUAA
rnacentral:rRNA from 1 species